UACGUAGGUGACAAGCGUUGUCCGGAUUUACUGGGCGUAAAGGGCGCGUAGGCGGCUCAUGAAGGCUGUGGUGAAAGUCCGGGGCUCAACCUCGGAUCGGCCGCGGCGACUCGUGGGCUGGAGCACUGUAGAGGCGGGUGGAAUUCCGGGUGUAGCGGUGAAAUGCGCAGAUAUCAGGAGGAACACCAAUUGCGAAGGCAGCUCGCUGGGACGUUACUGACGCUGAGACGCGAAAGCGUGGGGAGCAAACAGG
rnacentral:rRNA from 1 species